UCCGGAAUAGUCGGGAUAGCUCAGUUGGUAG
rnacentral:tRNA from 1 species